AUGCGACUGUUCUUCAAGCUCUUCGCCGUCUUGGCCAUCAUGGCUGCUCUGUCGGCCACAAAUGUGCCGUCGCUAGUUGGUGUAUGGGGGAGGACGCCGGGGAGAGCCCCACCUUCGCCGAGGUCGUCCCCGCGUAGGAGUUCCGCGAAACCGACUCGUCCCAGGCCACCGCCUCCGCCACCGGCGCAGAAGGGCAGAGUGAGGCCACUGCGUUCACCGCCCCCGCCUCCACCACCACCACCACCACCACCGCCACCACCAUAUCGCCAACGAGGCGUCCGCCCUACGCAGUCUCCUGCACUACCACUACCGUGCCACUAG
rnacentral:rRNA from 1 species